AGAUAAGCGAUGAACGAGAAAAAGGUUGCUUUUGAUCUUGCAGAGAGCCGGUGGGAGAUGAAAACCGGUAGAUGAGGGCAUACUGUUAGUCACUCGAGAGCUUUUCUGCCGAAUAUAGUAAGCAGGAACGUCCAUUCACGUUACGAAUAUGGAACCGCAAGUAUAAUGUAGGGUGGUACCGCGAAACAAUUCGCCCCUAUC
rnacentral:ncRNA from 1 species